GACGAACGCUGGCGGCGUGCUUAACACAUGCAAGUCGAACGGAAAGGCCCUGCUUUUGUGGGGUGCUCGAGUGGCGAACGGGUGAGUAACACGUGAGUAACCUGCCCUUGACUUUGGGAUAACUUCAGGAAACUGGGGCUAAUACCGGAUAGGAGCUCCUGCUGCAUGGUGGGGGUUGGAAAGUUUCGGCGGUUGGGGAUGGACUCGCGGCUUAUCAGCUUGUUGGUGGGGUAGUGGCUUACCAAGGCUUUGACGGGUAGCCGGCCUGAGAGGGUGACCGGGCACAUUGGGACUGAGAUAAGGCCCAGACUCCUACGGGAGGCAGCAGGGGGGAAUAUUGCACAAAGGGCGGAAGCCUGAUGCAGCAACGCCGCGUGCGGGAUGACGGCCUUCGGGUUGUAAACCGCUUUCGCCUGUGACGAAGCGUGAGUGACGGUAAUGGGUAAAGAAGCACCGGCUAACUACGUG
rnacentral:rRNA from 1 species